CAGCGCCACGAGUGGGAAUCGUAUAUUUGGCCUAAAGCGUCCGUAGCCGGAUUAGCAAAUUUUCUGUGAAAUCGAACAGCUCAACUGUUCGGCGGGCAGGAAACACUACUAAUCUUGGAACCGGGAGGGGUACAGAGUAUUCCAGGGGAAGCGGUAAAAUGCUAUAAUCCCUGGAGGACUACCUAUGGCGAAGGCACCGUACCAGAACGGAUUCGACGGUGAGGGACGAAAGCCAGGGGAGCGAUCCGGAUUAGAUACCCGAGUAGUCC
rnacentral:rRNA from 1 species